rnacentral:rRNA from 1 species
UGCAGUCGAACGGCAGCACAGUAAGAGCUUGCUCUUAUGGGUGGCGAGUGGCGGACGGGUGAGGAAUACAUCGGAAUCUACUCUUUCGUGGGGGAUAACGUAGGGAAACUUACGCUAAUACCGCAUACGACCUACGGGUGAAAGCGGAGGACCUUCGGGCUUCGCGCGGUUGAAUGAGCCGAUGUCGGAUUAGCUAGUUGGCGGGGUAAAGGCCCACCAAGGCGACGAUCCGUAGCUGGUCUGAGAGGAUGAUCAGCCACACUGGAACUGAGACACGGUCCAGACUCCUACGGGAGGCAGCAGUGGGGAAUAUUGGACAAUGGGCGCAAGCCUGAUCCAGCCAUGCCGCGUGGGUGAAGAAGGCCUUCGGGUUGUAAAGCCCUUUUGUUGGGAAAGAAAAGCAGUCGGUUAAUACCCGAUUGUUCUGACGGUACCCAAAGAAUAAGCACCGGCUAACUUCGUGCCAGCAGCCGCGGUAAUACGAAGGGUGCAAGCGUUACUCGGAAUUACUGGGCGUAAAGCGUGCGUAGGUGGUGGUUUAAGUCUGUUGUGAAAGCCCUGGGCUCAACCUGGGAAUUGCAGUGGAUACUGGAUCACUAGAGUGUGGUAGAGGGUAGCGGAAUUCCCGGUGUAGCAGUGAAAUGCGUAGAGAUCGGGAGGAACAUCCGUGGCGAAGGCGGCUACCUGGACCAACACUGACACUGAGGCACGAAAGCGUGGGGAGCAAACAGGAUUAGAUACCCUGGUAGUCCACGCCCUAAACGAUGCGAACUGGAUGUUGGGUGCAAUUUGGCACGCAGUAUCGAAGCUAACGCGUUAAGUUCGCCGCCUGGGGAGUACGGUCGCAAGACUGAAACUCAAAGGAAUUGACGGGGGCCCGCACAAGCGGUGGAGUAUGUGGUUUAAUUCGAUGCAACGCGAAGAACCUUACCUGGUCUUGACAUCCACGGAACUUUCCAGAGAUGGAUUGGUGCCUUCGGGAACCGUGAGACAGGUGCUGCAUGGCUGUCGUCACCUCCUGUCCUGAGAAGUUUGGGUUAAAUCCCGCCACCAAGCGCAACCCCUUGUCCUUAGUUUGCCACCACCUAAUGGUGGGGAACUCUAAGGAGAA